GGAUCCUUCGGGAUUAGUGGCAGACGGGUGAGUAACGCGUGGGAAGCUACCUUGUGGUAGGGGACAACAGUUGGAAACGACUGCUAAUACCCUAUGAGCCCUAUGGGGGAAAGAUUUAUCGCCAUGAGAUGUGCCCGCGUUAGAUUAGCUAGUUGGUAAGGUAAUGGCUUACCAAGGCGACGAUCUAUAGCUGGUCUGAGAGGAUGAUCAGCCACACUGGGACUGAGACACGGCCCAGACUCCUACGGGAGGCAGCAGUGGGGAAUAUUGGACAAUGGGGGCAACCCUGAUCCAGCCAUGCCGCGUGUGUGAUGACGGCCUUAGGGUUGUAAAGCACUUUCAGCAGUGAAGAUAAUGACAUUAACUGCAGAAGAAGCCCCGGCUAACUUCGUGCCAGCAGCCGCGGUAAUACGAAGGGGGCUAGCGUUGUUCGGAAUCACUGGGCGUAAAGAGUACGUAGGCGGACUGAUAAGUUAGGGGUGAAAUCCCAAGGCUCAACCUUGGAACUGCCUUUGAUACUGUCAGUCUUGAGAUCGAGAGAGGUGAGUGGAACUCCGAGUGUAGAGGUGAAAUUCGUAGAUAUUCGGAAGAACACCAGUGGCGAAGGCGGCUCACUGGCUCGAUACUGACGCUGAGGUACGAA
rnacentral:rRNA from 1 species